UACGUAGGGUGCAAGCGUUAUCCGGAAUUAUUGGGCGUAAAGAGCUCGUAGGCGGUUUGUCGCGUCUGCUGUGAAAACCCGAGGCUCAACCUCGGGCCUGCAGUGGGUACGGGCAGACUAGAGUGCGGUAGGGGAGAUUGGAAUUCCUGGUGUAGCGGUGAAAUGCGCAGAUAUCAGGAGGAACACCAAUGGCGAAGGCAGCACUCUGGGACGUGACUGACGCUGAGACGCGAAAGCGUGGGGAGCAAACAGG
rnacentral:rRNA from 1 species